rnacentral:pre_miRNA from 1 species
UUCAACAGCUUGAGGGAAACAUCUAAAGUAAACGACGAACGAACUUCCAUUGAUAACCGAUGAACUUAGUGUUUGAAGGAAGCAAGAUCAUUUCCCGGUUUCAUUUUUCUUCCGUCGGUCAGGUAGUUCGCCUGGUUUUUACUUUAGAUGUCUCCUUCAUGCUGUCUGU